CCUGACCGAGCACGCCGCGUGAGGUGAAGACGGCUUUCGGAUCGUAAAGCUCUGUUGUAGAGACGAACGAGUGUGAGAGUGGAAAGUUCACACUGUGACGGUAUCUUACCAGACAGGGACGGCUAACUACGUGCCCGCAGCCGCGGUAAUAACAGCCGCGGUAAUA
rnacentral:rRNA from 1 species